GCCUUGACCAUCAAAGACAGGAAUUAGGACUCCCAGAACAGCUGAGUCCUGAGGAUAAACAAUUGAUCUGCUCCCCACCUCCAGAACCUAAAGCUAAUCUUUCCCUGGCUGAGGCUCCACCUGCUCUGUUACUGGACUCCCCACAGGGGCCUGAGCAAAAUGAUGUCCAGGAUCAGACAGAUGGACCCUGGAUGGAUUAUGAACUCCAGGAAGCUUUAAGGGAAUGUGAAGACGAAAUGGCUGCUCUUGGCAUAUCCUCCCAUGCAGACACAUGGACUGCAGGUGAUCUGGACAGGUGUUUCUCUGUAACCGUGCCUGAAAGUUAUGAGAAAAAUCAAACCGAGAAAACUGAAGUCAAAAAGGAUUUUGGUUCAUCUUCACAUAAACCUGCCAAAUUUCAUGAAGGUUGCCAUGGAAAUGAUGGAGCGCACACAAAUGACUCAACAGCAGGUGAAGAGGGGGUGGUUAGCUUCAGAGAUUAUGUUCUAGGAAGAAAGCAAAGUAAUGCAUGUGCAGCUGGAUCUGAGGAUGUCAAAAACAUUGAGGAUAUAACAGAAAACCACAGAGAAGAAGCAAGCCAGCUGUCAGAGGCAGAACAGCAAACAAAGUUAGAGAUAGACGCAGCUGAGAACAUAGCUGGUCAACAAAAGACACAAAGCAUAAGGACACUUAGGACAGGUACACAAACAACAUCAGAGAUUGAUGCGGAAAAGGAAACACUUACCCAGGAUCAAUCAAUACAGGAUAUCUGCUCUUUGAAAUACACCCUGGAGGAUGAGAGUCCACAAGAUGAAGACAGAACAAAUGUUAUAGCACAGACAACCCAGAGAGAAGCAGGAGUAAUUCAAGAGACAAAUCAUUUGAAUGAAGAAGAUAUAAGUUCUGCAAAAGCUACACAGAUGAUUCAGAACUCAGAUGAAAUAAAAAUAAAGACACAUAGUCAGUUAAUUAGUGAUUCACUAACGUGCCCAUCCACACAUACAGAUAAACAUUCUGGUCACACGUUACACUUAGAAGCUAAAAUAAGCGUACAACCAAACAUACAGAAACAGGUGGAGUCAGGGACACAUCAGUGGAUAAAUGGACAGAUAGAAACAAACACAAAAGUAGGAUCAAGCCUUGACCAUCAAAGACAGGAAUUAGGACUCCCAGAACAGCUGAGUCCUGAGGAUAAACAAUUGAUCUGCUCCCCACCUCCAGAACCUAAAGCUAAUCUUUCCCUGGCUGAGGCUCCACCUGCUCUGUUACUGGACUCCCCACAGGGGCCUGAGCAAAAUGAUGUCCAGGAUCAGACAGAUGGACCCUGCAAAUCAAUAUCAGAAGGUGAAACCAUACACCACAACUACUGUACAACAGGGGACAAACAUGAGAAAAAUGUGUCUGAUGCAUCUGCUGUUGUGAUUGAUUCCUGCCACGCUAAAACAGCCCCUGAACAUGAGCCUGUAGGGAGAUGUGACUUAGAGACAUAUCCACUGGAGCAGGAGAAUGGACCUCCUUUAAGUGGUGGAGCUGGCGCACAUGCAGCACUGUGGGGGAAUUCACAUGCUCUGAGCCGAGCCGGUGCAGAAGAGAGGGAGGAGGAAGAGAGUGCCCUUGAAUGGGCUUCAGCAGAGUCCGCUGCCUCCACAUUGCUACAAACAACACCCACGAUGCCAGAAAUGAUAGAAAGCGAGGGAGAGAAGAAGAGAGAUGAUGCAUUCCAAAGUGCUGCAAUAAUAUUACAAGCAGCAGAGAGAGAAUCGGACGUGCUGGAAGCAGAUGAAUCUCCGAGCUCAGAGGAAACAUUGAGUGAAUUUAUAGCUGAAAAGGGACAAAAAUGCACCUCAGUAAUUUUUCCGGACAUUAAGUGCUCACCUGUUCAGAAAGAGGAGGCGACUGAGGAGAGCUGUGGCUACAAAAUACCACACAACACAACGGAGAGUGAGAGGAAGGGAGGGGGUCUGCCGAUCGCACUCUCCCCAGCCAGAGACAAGGAUACAGGCACAGUCGAUACAGAGGACAAAGCUCUGGUCACCUAUUCCUCUCCAGGCAUCCUUGGAACAUGUGACUGGAAGGUGGAGAGUUCACAAUCGAAGGAGAGAAAAGGAGAGAGCGAAGAGGAGGGGAAAAAGACAAGCGAAGGCGGAGCACAGAACGCAGCACAAGCUGGCAGGGUGUCACAGACAGAGGCAGCGACUGAGACGUGUCCAUCCCACUGCAUCACAGCAUCACCAGCGGCAACACAAGACCAGAGUGACCUCAUCCAUCCUGUCACAGCAGGCACAGCCCCGUUUCCUCUGAGCAUCAACAGAAUAAACGACUGCGACUCUGUCAGCCCACCCCCUCCUCUUUCCCACAUAAACGCUACAAAGACAGAAGUGCAGAGAGUGGAAAAGGCUAAUCUGAAUCCGAGCCCAAGUGCAUCAGAAGCAGAACUGCCAGGCAGUGAUAGAUCACUUCCACCAGCAGUUUCUUUAGAAAACGAAUGUCUCGCUGCGCAAGCCGGUGAUCAACAGGUACAGAGCUCUUUACAGACUAGAACCGCAAGCUGUGACACAUCCAUCAAGACAGAGACACAGCAACAAAACCAAGAAACAACUUCUACAAGUGAAGACACAUCUCAAUCAACUAAGCUACAAGUAAACAUGAGGGAUAUCGCCGCAAGUUGUACCAAAUUGGAAGGACAUAUGUCUCCAAAAGGUAUGCAGAGCUCUUUUGAGAACCAAAAGGAUACAACAUUGAAAUGCCAAAUGACUGAAUGUGCCUCUCUGCCCCCACUGAUGGUAUUUGAAAGUCUACAUCAUCCAGUAAAAGAGGCUAGCUUCAACUUUAAAGGUUUUCUCAGCAUCAGCAAACCAGCACUUCCUCUUCAGACAGAAUCAACCAUUGGCCAGAGAAAUACUGACCUGCAUGGAACAGAAAAUGAACCUACUGCCACUGAAGGAGGUAAAAAGGGAAAAAAUGGAAAGCAGAGAGAAAAAGUGGAACAAGUGGAAAUGCCAUUUAAAGAGUCAAAGGACUGCAGAGAAAUGACCAGUACAUCCCAAAUGCAUGGUGAGACUACUGUAAAACUUGAAGAAAAUGUCAAUGUAAUUAUGAGUAGCUGUGAAGACGAUGGAAAAGUGACAGAUGAAACUCCUGAUGUCAGCAAGAGAAGUCCUGUUAUAUUUUCAUCACUGUCAGCUGCAGGUGAGACCACCGGUGUUACUGAAGCUAAAGACAUGGUUAAUGAAACUCUGGAAGAUGCUGAAGUAAGUAAAGAGAAACAAGAAAAUAAAGAAUGUAUGAAUGUUACUCAGAUCACUCCAUAUAUUACAGAUGAGUCGGCAUCCACUGAGAAGAAUAGUGUUUUACUACAGGAUGUAUCUCCACAAGAGGGUCGUAACAGCAGCCCUGCUGUGGAUGGUGAGCGGGCUGAUAUGCCUGUGUCUGAAGGAGUUGAACAAAGAAAUACUGAAGUUCUAUUUAACACCAAGGAAAAGCUGGAUGAAGAGACUGAUAAAUCAAAGGGAUGUGGGUUACCUGAAGCAGGUGAUAUAGAACUAACAUGUCCAGGUAAUUCAGAGAAUCUUGUGAAUGACAGUCGAGAGCAAAAGCCAGAAAAAUGCACAUGUGAAGUUGAGUCACAGGUAAAAACCAGCUCCAUGUCUCCAGCAGCUGCCCCAGACAUAGACAGCAUGUGCCCAUGCACUCAACCAGACAAGAAAUUCAACACCGAGCAACCUACUACAACCUCAGAGAUGAAGUUUCUGUCAAAAGCAGAUGAGUGUACAGACAUGCUGCCCUAUCAGACUGAAUCACAGUACAGUAAUGAACUGAUGAAAAAUGAUGCAGCGGAUGCUGGGGACACAACUGUCCCUUCUCUUUCUGCAGUGGAGACUACAGUACCAGCACAAAGGGAUCUUUCCUCAACCACCACACAAAGCACUAACAGUGAUGCUAGGGAUGUGUCUGUCAUUGUACUAAAGGCUCCAGGCCCAAUGCUGAGUCACUGUGAGUUCAUUAAUGACUGUGAUAUUGCUGUAGCAGGACCCGGAGAAGAUUGCAGUGUGAACUGUGUGUGUGAUUCUGACACAGAUAUUGUAAAGAAUAUUACAGACAAAACUAAUCAACAAUCAGAUGCGAAUGAAGAGAUGUUAAGAUCUCAAAAUGCAGAUGAUCCUCCCUACCCUGUUGGUGUCUCCACACAGGAAAUUGUAGCAUCAUCUGGGUCCCUUCUGCUCACAACUGACAGGGCAGAAGAGGCAGGUGGUUCAACUCUAGUGUUAAAGAACCCAGAUAUUGUUGGAAAUGCAAAGAUGAAACAGAAUGAAACAUCUAAGGGUAUUGGAGAAUUGGAGGAUGUUAGAAAAGGGAAGAGUGAAGGACAUUUUAAUUCUAUACAUGAAAAUGAUUUAUGCAAUGCACCUACAAAUGUUGCUACAGAAAAUGAAGUAAUUAAUAAAGACACGUAUGAAGAAUUCAAGCACGUGAAGGGGGAAGAGGACAACAAGAAAAGUGUAAAGGAAACCAAAGAAAAAUCCAAUGCAAAAAAUGAAAGUAGUUCCUCGCAGGAAGAAGAAAUUGAACAAAAAAACGGAAAGCAGGGUGAAAUGAAGGAGCAAGAAGAAAUGCCUAUUAAAAAGCAGAAGAAUAGUCGAGAAGAGACCGAUACCUCUGAAACAUCCUGUGCUGAUGAAAUGCUUCAUUAUCAACCAGCUUUGACAAAUCAGCAAAGUCCUAAUGAUGAAAUCAAAUGUGAUUCACUCCCGAUGAACUUGGAGGACAAUCUCGUUACACUUUUGACUGAGGAGCCUGUUCAACAUGUGUCUGUAGACAAUGUAAAACUGAAUAAAGAUGUAUCCAAAGGAUCCAGGCAGGUGAUAGGAGGAGAGCAAAACAGGGAGUGUGUGCAAGAAAAUGAGGUACAAAAUGUAAAAUUAAUUGCAGACAAGGACUGCAAAAAGAGAACAAAUAUCUCUCAAGAACAGGAUGAGGCUGCUGCAAAAGAAAAAGCUGAUCAAACAAAAGAAGAAAAUCAGACAUUAAUAAAUCUCUUCAAUCUAUCAGGAAAAAAAAAACUAGUAGAUGAAACCAUUCCAAGAGGAAAAUUGCAGUGUAGCCCUAUGCCUGAGCCUGGUUUAACCUCCAAAGGGAUUACAGAAGAGGCUCUGGGUUGUAGAGGGGCACUAACUGAAAAAUCUCCUCCAGUCAUUGAUCAGACCCUGUCUGCAGUGGUGAAUGCUUCUCCUGAGAGAGAUCACACACAAGAUCCAAGAGGUUUGAGCCAGUCAGAUUUGCCAUUUUCACAGUCCCAAGAGCUCCAGCAGCAACAGAAGUUUGUGAGUGCCCUAGAAGCAGUGUUAAGUGUGAGUAAAAGCAACGUUUUAGAAAAUGCUGAGACCAAUAACAAUGCAGAUGCUGAGGCAAGUGAAAAGGAAGGGAAGGUGACAAUGUACUGUAGUGCAGAGGCUCAGAGAUCCCUAAUCAGCACUUCAGAGAGUGCCACACUGGUGGAGGGCUAUGACAAAGAUAUUGCUGUGUACAAUAUAUGUCUAGAGAAUGAAAAGAAGGCAAUACAAACAAUCAAUCUUAAUGGUGGGAAAAUUCCUGUUUGUGGCGAAAGUACUACAAGUGAAAUACAAACACAGUCAGAUCCCAACUUUUCUGUAACAGCAUCGUCAGCUUCUGAAACUUCAGAAGUCAAACGGGUUAUAGAGGCAAUAGAGGCAAAAGAGCCUGCCAUCUCAGCAUCACAGGAAAGUGUGAGUAAACAUGCAGAUUGUACCAAAUCACAGGUCAGUGCGGAUGAGCUUGGGAAUGUUUGUAACGAAAUACUUGACACCAAGAAAGGCUCAGAAUUUCCUGUAAAUCACUCAAGUGGGUUCACUGUGAUUCCCACCCUCUCACACCAUGAAGGAGGACUAAAAACAGAAGAGAAAUGUUUAGACUCUGUUACCCCUGGAGACACUGGAAACACUGAGAUCAGUUCUGAUUCAAUGAGUGAUGUUGCACAGAUGUCUCCUGCAGGAACGUCCCGAAUUCAGCAAGAGAAAGAGUCCAUUUUUCAGCCCUCUGAUUGCCAGAUCUCCACCACCACAUCCUCUUUUUCUGCUUCUGUGCUCCAGAAAGGUAUUAAAGAGGAAAAAGAGAUAAGUGUGGAUCAGGCCUCUAAAGAUACACUAGAACCUAACACUCCUAAUUCCACUCCCCAAUCUGAGACAGCCAGCUGGAGGAUGGAGCAGCUUAAUAAGCAUUUGUCAGAGCAAUUCCCAGACGGCACCCAAAACACAGAGGAGCAGGAUACACAGUGUUCUGAACAGCAGCUCAUGCAGUUACAACAUGUAGUAACUUGUUUGGACACUGAAAACACAAUCAGUACUAUGAAAGAAGAAGACACAGUUUCAAAUGGCUUACAACAGCGAGAAGGAAUUCAAGAAGAGAUAAGUAAACAGAUGGCGAAUGAGGAACAGAACAAGGCCACUGAAAAGGAUCAGACAGAAAUGUCCAAAGGGGCUGAACCUAAGUCUUCACAGUCUGUAGUGAAAGAAAACAUCUCCAAAGAAAAGUUGGAGGAGCAGUCUUUAUUUUCCCCUGAUGAAGCAAUAGUUGAUAAUGUAGACCAGCAAACUGAAGAAGUUUCUAAUGGGACACUGACAGAAAUGAAACCGGUUGUGUCAUUGUUAUACCCUGAGACCUCUGUCUGCUUAGUGACUGACCCCCAGGAUUCUUUCCAGUUCCCUCCUGCAGUCAAUCAACAGUCUAGUCAGCAGCCCACUAAGUCUUUUAUCCAAAGUUUACGUCAAAACACCACAAAUACAGUUAAAAGUAGCAGUGAGCCAAGUCCUGACAUAGCAGAUGACUCUCCUGGAGACACGGAAUCCCUUCUAAUCAAUAAAGCAAUACAGAAAGAUGACAGUGAAGCUAUUGAAGAUGAAGUCAGCAAGGUGACAAAAGCUGCAGAUGUGUUGCUGGGUUCAUGCACAGGAACAGUAGAGGUAUCACAGGUUAUCAACAGUUCAGACAGCCAAGUCCUCAGUGAAAUCUUUAUACCUGAGAGGUCAGAUACAGUCAACUCCUCCGAAGGUUCUGAUUGGCUCAGAGCUCUGAAGGAGGCAGCCUCCAUGUCUCAGAUCAUUCCAGAGCACAGAGAUGAGACUACCUGUGGAUCUACAGAAAACAGACCAUCUGAGAUCCACAGUUUGCCUCAGGCUGAACUAGAAUUCCGAACCCCAACUGAAGAAUAUUUUCCCCCUGCACCUGAAGAGAGUUUUCCCCCUGCACUUGAUGAGAGUUUCCCCCCUGCGCCUGAGGAGAGUUUUCACCCUUGGCCUGAGGAGAGUUUCCCCACUGCGCCUGAGGAGAGUUUUCCUCCUGCCCCUGUGGAGAGUUUUCCUCCUGCACCUGAGGAGAGUUUUCCUCCUGCUCCUGUGGAAAGUUUUUCUCCUGCACCUGAGGAGAGUUUUACCCCUGUUACUAAGCAGACAGAAGAACCACUAGACUGCAGGUGAGACCUCCUACAUGCUCCUUAUGCACUUUAUGCACUUAUGCAAUAAUCAUGAAAUUAUU
ensembl:lncRNA